rnacentral:ncRNA from 2 species
GUAAUCAAAUACACAUUCACUCAUAUAAUCGCGGGGAUAUGGCCUGCAAGUUUCUACCGGAUGACCGUAAAGCAUCCGACUAUGGGUGAGCGAUGGACUGCA